rnacentral:rRNA from 1 species
UACGUAGGGGGCUAGCGUUGUCCGGAAUUAUUGGGCGUAAAGAGCGUGUAGGCGGCCAGAUAAGUCCGCUGUGAAAUCUCGAGGCUCAACUUCGAGCUGUCGGUGGAAACUAUCUGGCUAGAGUCCGGAAGAGGAGAAUGGAAUUCCUGGUGUAGCGGUGAAAUGCGCAGAUAUCAGGAAGAACACCCGUGGCGAAGGCGGUUCUCUGGGCAUUACCUGACGCUGAGGAGCGAAAGCAUGGGGAGCGAACAGG